GAUGAACGCUAGCGGCAGGCUUAAUACAUGCAAGUCGAGGGGCAGCACGAAUAGCAAUAUUUGGUGGCGACCGGCAAACGGGUGCGGAACACGUACAGAACCUUCCUUCGAGUGGGGAAUAGCCCGAAGAAAUUCGGAUUAAUACCCCAUAGUAUUAUGAAGUGGCAUCACUUUAUAAUUAAAGAUUUAUUGCUUGAAGAUGGCUGUGCGCCUGAUUAGGUAGUUGGCGGGGUAACGGCCCACCAAGCCUGCGAUCAGUAACUGGUGUGAGAGCACGACCAGUCACACGGGCACUGAGACACGGGCCCCGACUCCUACGGGAGGCAGCAGUAAGGAAUAUUGGUCAAUGGACGCAAGUCUGAACCAGCCAUGCCGCGUGGAGGAUGAAGGUCCUCUGGAUUGUAAAC
rnacentral:rRNA from 1 species